UACGUAGGUGGCAAGCGUUGUCCGGAUUUAUUGGGUUUAAAGGGUGCGUAGGCGGCCAAGCAGGUCCGUUGUGAAAACUGGAGGCUUAACCUCCAGACGUCGACGGAAACCGCGCGGCUAGAGUCCGGAAGAGGAGAGUGGAAUUCCUGGUGUAGCGGUGAAAUGCGCAGAUAUCAGGAAGAACACCAAUGGCGAAGGCAGCUCUCUGGGACGGUACUGGCGCUGAGACGCGAAAGCUAGGGGAGCAAACAGG
rnacentral:rRNA from 1 species